GUAAGGAAUAUUGGUCAAUGGACGAAAGUCUGAACCAGCCAUGCCGCGUGGAGGAUGAAGGUCCUCUGGAUUGUAAACUUCUUUUAUAUGGGACGAAAAUGGGGCUUUCUAGCUCAACUGACGGUACCAUAUGAAUAAGCACCGGCUAACUCCGUGCCAGCAGCCGCGGUAAUACGGAGGGUGCAAGCGUUAUCCGGAUUCACUGGGUUUAAAGGGUGCGUAGGUGGAUUGGUAAGUCAGAGGUGAAAUCUACGGGCUCAACUCGGAAACUGCCUUUAAUACUAUCAAUCUUGAAUAUUGUGGAGGUUAGCGGAAUAUGUCAUGUAGCGGUGAAAUGCUUAGAUAUGACAUAGAACACCAAUUGCGAAGGCAGCUGGCUACACAUAUAUUGACACUGAGGCACGAAAGCGUGGGGAUCAAACAGGAUUAGAAACCCUUGUAGUCC
rnacentral:rRNA from 1 species